GAAACCAACAGGGAUUGCCUCAGUAGCGGCGAGUGAAGCGGCAAAAGCUCAAAUUUGAAAUCUGGCGUCUUUGGCGUCCGAGUUGUAAUUUGAAGAAGGUAUCUUUGGGCCCGGCUCUUGUCUAUGUUCCUUGGAACAGGACGUCACAGAGGGUGAGAAUCCCGUGCGAUGAGAUGACCCGGGUCUGUGUAAAGUUCCUUCGACGAGUCGAGUUGUUUGGGAAUGCAGCUCUAAGUGGGUGGUAAAUUCCAUCUAAAGCUAAAUAUUGGCGAGAGACCGAUAGCGAACAAGUACAGUGAUGGAAAGAUGAAAAGAACUUUGAAAAGAGAGUGAAAAAGUACGUGAAAUUGUUGAAAGGGAAGGGCUUGAGAUCAGACUUGGUAUUUUGCAUGCUGCUCUCUCGGGGGCGGCCGCUGCGGUUUACCGGGCCAGCAUCGGUUUGGAGCGGCAGGAUAAUGGCGGAGGAAUGUGGCACGGCUUCUGCUGUGUGUUAUAGCCUC
rnacentral:rRNA from 1 species